GACGAACGCUGGCGGCGUGCUUAACACAUGCAAGUCGAACGGUAAGGCCCUUCGGGGUACACGAGUGGCGAACGGGUGAGUAACACGUGGGUGAUCUGCCCUGCACUUCGGGAUAAGCCUGGGAAACUGGGUCUAAUACCGGAUAGGACCCUGGGAUGCAUGUCCUGGGGUGGAAAGCUUUUGCGGUGUGGGAUGGGCCCGCGGCCUAUCAGCUUGUUGGUGGGGUGAUGGCCUACCAAGGCGACGACGGGUAGCCGGCCUGAGAGGGUGACCGGUCACACUGGGAAUGAGAUACGGCCCAGACUCCUACGGGAGGCAGCAGUGGGGAAUAUUGCACAAUGGGCGCAAGCCUGAUGCAGCGACGCCGCGUGAGGGAUGACGGCCUUCGGGUUGUAAACCUCUUUCAGCUAUGACGAAGCGCAAGUGACGGUAGUAGCAGAAGAAGGACCGGCCAACUACGUGCCAGCAGCCGCAGUAA
rnacentral:rRNA from 1 species